UACGUAGUGGGCAAGCGUUGUCCGGAAUUAUUGGGCGUAAAGAGCGCGUAGGCGGUCCGGUAAGUCGGCUGUGAAAGUCAAGGGCUCAACCCUUGAAAGCCGGCCGAUACUGUCGGACUAGAGUCCGGAAGAGGCGAGUGGAAUUCCCGGUGUAGCGGUGAAAUGCGCAGAUAUCUGGAGGAAUACCGGUGGCGAAGGCGGCAUCCUGGACCGGCAUUGACGCUGAGGAGCGAAAGCUAGGGGAGCAAACGGG
rnacentral:rRNA from 1 species